GAUGAACGCUGGCGGUAUGCUUAACACAUGCAAGUCGAACGGACUUCUUAGGAAGUUAGUGGCGGACGGGUGAGUAACGCGUGAGAAUCUAGCUCGAGGUUCGGGAUAACCACUGGAAACGGUGGCUAAUACCGGGUAUGCCGAGAGGUGAAAGAUAAACUGCCUGGAGAUGAGCUCGCGUCUGAUUAGCUAGUUGGUGGUGUAAGGGACUACCAAGGCGACGAUCAGUAGCUGGUCUGAGAGGAUGAUCAGCCACACUGGAACUGAGACACGGUCCAGACUCCUACGGGAGGCAGCAGUGGGGAAUAUUCUGCAAUGGGCGAAAGCCUGACAGAGCUAUAUCGCGUGAAGGAUGAAAACUUUUUAGUUGUAAACUUCUUUUUUCAAACAAGAAAUCCUGACGGUAUUUGAAGAAUAAGCAUCGGCUAACUCUGUGCCAGCCGCCGCUGUAACAC
rnacentral:rRNA from 1 species